rnacentral:rRNA from 1 species
AUUGAACGCUGGCGGCAGGCCUAACACAUGCAAGUCGAACGAGUGGCGGACGGGUGAGUAAUGUCUGGGAAACUGCCUGAUGGAGGGGGAUAACUACUGGAAACGGUAGCUAAUACCGCAUACCAUCAGAUGUGCCCAGAUGGGCUUAGCUAGUUGGUGGGGUAACGGCUCACCAAGGCGACGAUCCCUAGCUGGUAUGCGAGGAUGACCAGCGAGACUGGAACUGAGACACGGUCCAGACUCCUUCGGGAGGCGGCCGUGGGGAAUAUUGCACAAGGGGGGCAGGCCUGAGGGCGCCAUGCCGAGUGUAUGAAGAAGGCCGUCGGGUUGUAAAGUACUUUCAGCGGUUAGGCGUUACCCGCAGAAGAAGCACCGGCUAACUCCGUGCCAGCAGCCGCGGUAAUAC